GUUUGAGUGAUGACUUCACAAAUUGUCGGAUACCCCUUCACUCCUUUUAUGAGUGAGAACAGUGGUCUGACAAAC
ensembl:snoRNA small nucleolar RNA, C/D box 101